rnacentral:misc_RNA from 1 species
AUUGGACCCAAUGUUAAAGUUUUUGUUUUUUUUUGGGUUUCAUUGAGAAAUGUAUGUUAGGAAAAAGUUCUUUGUGAUCGAUUAUUUUAUCACCGCCUUAAGUUAAGGUUGAUUUCUCAACACUUUUGGGAUAACGUUCCACAAUAGAAGUUAUGUUUGAUACGUGCAUGUCUCAACAUUAUUGUACAAAGAGAUUGUACAUUGGCCAGUUGGAGAAACCAAUUUCCCUUUUUUAUAUGUAGUUCCAUUUGAAUGAUUGUAUUCUAUGUGCUUGA